GACGAACGCUGGCGGCGUGCUUAACACAUGCAAGUCGAACGGAAAGGCCCUGCUUUGGUGGGGUGCUCGAGUGGCGAACGGGUGAGUAACACGUGAGUAACCUGCCCUUGACUUUGGGAUAACUUCAGGAAACUGGGGCUAAUACCGGAUAGGAGCUCCUGCUGCAUGGUGGGGGUUGGAAAGGUUCGGCGGUUGGGGGUGGACUCGCGGCUUAUCAGCUUGUUGGUGGGGUAGUGGCUUACCAAGGCUUUGACGGGUAGCCGGCCUGAGAGGGUGACCGGCCACAUUGGGACUGGGAUACGGCCCAGACUCCUACGGGAGGCAGCAGUGGGGAAUAUUGACCAAUGGGCGGAGGCCUGAUGCAGCAACGCCGCGUGCGGGAUGACGGCCUUCGGGUUGUAAACCGCUUUCGCAUGUGACGAAGCGUGAGUGACGGUAAUGGGUAAAGAAGCACCGGCUAACUACGUG
rnacentral:rRNA from 1 species